AUUGAACGCUGGCGGCAUGCUUUACACAUGCAAGUCGAACGGCAGCGCGGGCUUCGGCCUGGCGGCGAGUGUCGAACGGGUGAGUAAUGCAUCGGAACGUGCCCAGUAGUGGGGGAUAGCCCGGCGAAAGCCGGAUUAAUACCGCAUACGACCUGAGGGUGAAAGCGGGGGACCGAAAGGCCUCGCGCUAUUUGAUCGGCCGAUGUCGGAUUAGCUAGUUGGUGGGGUAAAGGCUUACCAAGGCGACGAUCCGUAGCUGGUCUGAGAGGACGACCAGCCACACUGGGACUGAGACACGGCCCAGACUCCUACGGGAGGCAGCAGUGGGGAAUUUUGGACAAUGGGGGCAACCCUGAUCCAGCCAUGCCGCGUGCGGGAAGAAGGCCUUCGGGUUGUAAACCGCUUUUGUUCGGGAAGAAAUCCUCUGGGCUAAUACCCCGGGGGGAUGACGGUACCGGAAGAAUAAGCACCGGCUAACUACGUG
rnacentral:rRNA from 1 species